rnacentral:ncRNA from 2 species
CUACAUUUGUACGCUUUUGGUUCCCAAUUCUUGAUUGGGAUUAAAAGGGAAUCUGGUAAAAUUCCAGAACUGUCCCGCAGCUGUAAGCUCUAUAACUAAGGUACACAUGUAGUGUCACUGUCCGCUCCGGCGGAUGGGAAGACCGUACCAUUAGGGAGUAAGUCAGAAAACCUGCCAUCGCAUUAUAGAUUCA